GUGCUUGCUUUGGCAGCCCAUGUACUAAAAUUGGAGCAAUACAGAGACAAUUAGCAUUUCCCCUAUGCAAGGAUGAUGCGCAAAUUCAUGAAGCAUAAUGUAUUUUU
ensembl:snRNA U6 U6 spliceosomal RNA